CUGAAUAUUGACAAUGGCGCAGCUGAUCAGCAUGCGCGGGUGUGAGAGCUAUGUGUAAAGCACUUUAGCGAGAGAGCUACUGAAGUUAAUACCUUCAGAUAGUGGACGUUACUCGCAGAAUAAGCACCGGCUAACUCUGUGCCAGCAGCCGCGGUAAUACAGAGGGUGCAAGCGUUAAUCGGAUUUACUGGGCGUAAAGCGCGCGUAGGCGGCUAAUUAAGUCAAAUGUGAAAUCCCCGAGCUUAACUUGGGAAUUGCAUUCGAUACUGGUUAGCUAGAGUGUGGGAGAGGAUGGUAGAAUUCCAGGUGUAGCGGUGAAAUGCGUAGAGAUCUGGAGGAAUACCGAUGGCGAAGGCAGCCAUCUGGCCUAACACUGACGCUGAGGUGCGAAAGCAUGGGGAGCAAACAGGAUUAGAUACCCUGGUAGUCCAUGCCGUAAACGAUGUCUACUAGCCGUUGGGGCCUUUGAGGCUUUAGUGGCGCAGCUAACGCGAUAAGUAGACCGCCUGGGGAGUACGGUCGCAAGACUAAAACUCAAAUGAAUUGACGGGGGCCCGCACAAGCGGUGGAGCAUGUGGUUUAAUUCGAUGCAACGCGAAGAACCUUACCUGGCCUUGACAUAGUAAGAACUUUCCAGAGAUGGAUUGGUGCCUUCGGGAACUUACAUACAGGUGCUGCAUGGCUGUCGUCAGCUCGUGUCGUGAGAUGUUGGGUUAAGUCCCGCAACGAGCGCAACCCUUUUCCUUAUUUGCCAGCGAGUAAUGUCGGGAACUUUAAGGAUACUGCCAGUGACAAACUGGAGGAAGGCGGGGACGACGUCAAGUCAUCAUGGCCCUUACGGCCAGGGCUACACACGUGCUACAAUGGUCGGUACAAAGGGUUGCUACCUAGCGAUAGGAUGCUAAUCUCAAAAAGCCGAUCGUAGUCCGGAUUGGAGUCUGCAACUCGACUCCAUGAAGUCGGAAUCGCUAGUAAUCGCGGAUCAGAAUGCCGCGGUGAAUACGUUCCCGGGCCUUGUACACACCGCCCGUCACACCAUGGGAGUUUGUUGCACCAGAAGUAGGUAGUCUAACCGCAAGGAGGACGCUUACCC
rnacentral:rRNA from 1 species